CCUACGGGAGGCAGCAGUGGGGGAUAUUGCACAAUGGGGGAAACCCUGAUGCAGCGACGCCGCGUGGGUGAAGAAGUAUUUCGGUAUGUAAAGCCCUAUCAGCAGGGAAGAAAGAAGACGGUACCUGACUAAGAAGCCCCGGCUAACUACGUGCCAGCAGCCGCGGUAAUACGUAGGGGGCGAGCGUUAUCCGGAUUCACUGGGUGUAAAGGGAGCGUAGACGGCCGUGCAAGCCAGGAGUGAAAGCCCGGGGCCCAACCCCGGGAGUGCUCUUGGAACUGUGCGGCUGGAGUGCGGGAGGGGCAGGCGGAAUUCCUGGUGUAGCGGUGAAAUGCGUAGAUAUCAGGAGGAACACCGGCGGCGAAGGCGGCCUGCUGGACCGCGACUGACGUUGAGGCUCGAAAGCGUGGGGAGCGAACAGGAUUAGAUACCCGGGUAC
rnacentral:rRNA from 1 species